rnacentral:rRNA from 1 species
UACGGGAGGCAGCAGUGGGGAAUAUUGCACAAUGGGCGAAAGCCUGAUGCAGCUAUGCCGCGUGUAUGAAGAAGGCCUUAGGGUUGUAAAGUACUUUCAUCGGGGAGGAAAAACAAAACUAAUAAUUUUAUUUCUUGACGUUACCCGAAAAAGAAGCACCGGCUAACUCCGUGCCAGCAGCCGCGGUAAUACGGAGGGUGCUAGCGUUAAUCAGAAUUACUGGGCGUAAAAGAGCACGUAGGUGGUUUUUUUAAAGUCAGAUGUGAAAUCCCUGGGCUUAACCUGGAACUGCAUUUUGAAACUGAAAUACUAGAGUAUCGUAGAGGGAGGUAGAAUUCUAGGUGUAGCGGUGAAAUGCGUAGAUAUCUGGAGGAAUACCUGUGGCGAAAGCGGCCUCUAAACGAAUACUGACACUGAGGUGCGAAAAGCGUGGGGAGCAAACAGGGAUUAGGAUACC